AGUGGCGCACGGGUGAGUAACGCGUAGGAACCAACCCUGGAGUGCGGAAUAACCUUGGGAAACCGAGGCUAAUACCACAUAAUCCCUAAGGGGGAAAGGAGUAAUCUGCUCUAGGACGGGCCUGCGCCUGAUUAGCUAGUUGGUAGGGUAAUAGCUUACCAAGGCGAUGAUCGGUAGCUGGUCUGAGAGGACGACCAGCCACACUGGGACUGAGACACGGCCCAGACUCCUACGGGAGGCAGCAGUGGGGAAUUUUGGACAAUGGGCGCAAGCCUGAUCCAGCAAUGCCGCGUGCAGGAAGAAGGCCUUCGGGUUGCAAACUGCUUUUGUCAGGGAAGAAAUCCUCUAGGUUAAUACCCUUGGGGGGAUGACGGUACGUGAAGAAUAAGCACCGGCUA
rnacentral:rRNA from 1 species